GUUCAGAUGUUGCUACUGAUUUUAAAUUUGAGGAGUAUGGUGCAUCAAGACAAUGUUGUUCUCAUGGAUUUCAUGUAGUUGACAGAUUUGGAAUGCCAAUUAUACACUAAACGCAGCCUUGCUGUGAGUUCCUCCGCUGCGGGUGCAUGCACUAAUUUUGAUCAAAAUUUCUGGCGUAACGUCACACGCUGUUGAAGAAAAGGUUGGAGUACUGCUGUUCAAUCUUGGUGACCCAGAGACCCUCAAUGAUGUUCAGCCGUUUUUGUUCAAUCUCUUUGCUGAUUCAUUGAUUCAUUGUGGCUCGAUGGUCCAGGAUGAGAAGGUAGAGCUAAACAUCCAAUUCAUGUAAUAUUUGAGCUUCCCACGCAUCUGGAGGGAUCCUUGCGAAAUAUAUUGCGUCUUCUACCAGGAAGGAGAUCACAUGCAUUCUAGUAUCCUGAAGGUAC